UAGGGAAUCUUCCGCAAUGGACGCAAGUCUGACGGAGCAACGCCGCGUGAGUGAUGAAGGUUUUCGGAUCGUAAAGCUCUGUUGCCCUAGACGAACAGCAAGGAGAGUAACUGCUCUUUGUGUGACGGUAUAGGAGAAGAAAGCCCCGGCUAACUACGUGCCAGCAGCCGCGGUAAUACGUAGGGGGCAAGCGUUGUCCGGAAUUAUUGGGCGUAAAGCGCGCGCAGGCGGUCAAUUAAGUUGGGUGUUUAAGCCCG
rnacentral:rRNA from 1 species